rnacentral:lncRNA from 1 species
GUUCAAGUAGGGAGGCAGCACCGGGGCAGAAACCACCUUACACUGCCCAGCCCCCCGCUCACCAUCACACCCCCCGAAAGUAUCAGCACCCGUCCUCCACUCCCGACACACUCACACUCUCUCUUUCCCUUGCCCUGUGCCUGUCUCUCUCCAUUCUACCAAGUAGCCGGCCAGACCUUUUCUCUCUCUCUCUCUCUCUCUCUCGCACUCUCUCUCCUGCCCUGUCGACAUCCAUCGAGCGUUCCACGCCUUUCUCCCUCAGCUUCCAAAGCCGUGCUGUCUACCGUUACUGCUGCUGUCCGUCCGUGUCUCUAUCUGCAACAAGUUCCCUGGGACAUUUUUGGAAACUUUUUUUCCUCAAGACAUUUCUUUUUUUGCUAUCUCCCUGGAGACGCCAGUGCAUGUGGUGCUGUGUGUGAAAGGGUCUAGUGUUGCUCUUUCCUGGGGGUCUCUGUACACCAUUAACCAGAGGAGAAGAUUACUUGACAUCAUGAUCAAAGUUCAGCUGCUGCUUCUGCUGGCCCUGGUCGGCCCCCUCUGUGCCGUCGCACACGCAACCUCGGUGAGGAGGAAAGUUGGAUUCGGAGACACAAGGGGGAAUGUGAUGUAAUGGUGCGAGGUCUUGUGCCUCGUGCUCAUGAUUUCUUGGCCGCCGGCAGGGAGAAAAAGGAAUAUCCUUUGGAAGGCUACCAAACAGUGCUCGGG